AGAAUUUAGUUUACAGUUUAAUUGUGAAGCAAGGAUAAUAAUAGUCGCUUCCUAAAACUGAUCCGCUCCUUGUUUGGAGACUGAAACAGUCUUUGUAAGACAAUGAAAGGUCACAAGAUUAGUAUUCUGAGAGGGGCCUGAAUUCUGCUAAAAUGUUGCUAACUUUGGAGGAAGCCAGCUGCCAUGUCACAAAAAGAUUCAGGAAGCCAUGUGGAGAGGCCCACAUCAUGAGGAACUGAGGUCUUUGCCAAUUACCAGCAAGGAAAUGAGGCCUCCUGCCAACAGCCACGUGAGUAUCCUACCUUGGAAAUGGACCCUCUAACUUCAAUCAGCCUUCAAAUAACUGCAGCCCCAGUUGAUGGCUUGACUGCAACCUUAGGAGAAACCCUGAGCCAAAAACAUUGAGGAAAAACACCCCCAGAUUCCUAUCAGAAAUUGUGUAAGAUAAUAAAUGUUUGUUGUUUUAAGCUGCUAA